rnacentral:piRNA from 2 species
UGGUGUCAGGACUCCUCUCUUGGC